rnacentral:rRNA from 1 species
ACUACGGGGUGCAGCAGUGGGGAAUAUUGGACAAUGGGCGAAAGCCUGAUCCAGCCAUGCCGCGUGUGUGAAGAAGGCCUUCGGGUUGUAAAGCACUUUCAGUGGGGAAGAAAGCCUUGGGGCUAAUACCCUCGAGGAAGGACAUCACCCACAGAAGAAGCACCGGCUAACUCCGUGCCAGCAGCCGCGGUAAUACGGAGGGUGCGAGCGGUAAUCGGAAUUACUGGGCGUAAAGCGCGCGUAGGCGGUCUGAUAAGCCGGUUGUGAAAGCCCCGGGCUCAACCUGGGAACGGCAUCCGGAACUGUCAGGAUAGAGUGCAGGAGAGGAAGGUAGAAUUCCCGGUGUAGCGGUGAAAUGCGUAGAGAUCGGGAGGAAUACCAGUGGCGAAGGCGGCCUUCUGGACUGACACUGACGCUGAGGUGCGAAAGCGUGGGUAGCAAACAGGAUUAGAUACCCUAGUAGUC